rnacentral:rRNA from 1 species
UACGUAGGGUGCGAGCGUUGUCCGGAAUUAUUGGGCGUAAAGAGCUCGUAGGCGGUUUGUCACGUCUGCUGUGAAAUCCCGAGGCUCAACCUCGGGCCUGCAGUGGGUACGGGCAGACUGGAGUGCGGUAGGGGAGAAUGGAAUUCCUGGUGUAGCGGUGGAAUGCGCAGAUAUCAGGAGGAACACCGGUGGCGAAGGCGGUUCUCUGGGCAUGAUCUGACGCUGAGGAGCGAAAGUGUGGGGAGCGA